ensembl:lncRNA
UGUGGAGGUGUGUGGUGGGGUGUGGAGGUGGUGUGGAGGUGGUGUAGUGGUGUGUGGAGGUGUGUAGUGGGAUGUGGAGGUGUGUGGAGGUGGUGUAGGGGUGGUGUAGUGGUGUGUGGAGGUGUGUAGUGGUGUGUGGAGGUGUGUGGUGGGGUGUGGAGGUGGUGUAGGGGUGUGUGGAGGUGUGUAGUGGUGUGUGGAGGUGGUGUAGUGGUGUGUGGAGGUGGUGUAGUGGUGUGUGGAGGUGGUGUAGUGGUGUGUGGAGGUGGUGUAGUGGGGUGUGGAGGUGUUGUAGUGGGGUGUGGAGGUGUGUGGUGGUGUGUGGAGGUGGUGUAGUGGUGUGUGGAGGUGUGUAGUGGUGUGUGGAGGUGGUGUAGUGGGGUUUGGAGGUGGUGUAGUGGGGUGUGGAGGUGGUGUAGUGGUGUGUGGAGGUGGUGUAGUGGUGUGUGGAGGUGUGUGGAGGUGGUGUAGUGGGGUGUGGAGGUGGUGUAGUGGUGUGUAGUGGUGUGUGGAGGUGUGUAGUGGUGUGUGGUGGUGUGUGGAGGCGUGUGGAGGUGGUGUAGUGGGGUGUGGAGGUGGUGUAGUGGUGUGUGGAGGUGGUGUAGUGGUGUGUGGAGGUGUGUGAUGGUGUGUGGUGGAGGUGGUGUGUGGAGGUGUGUGGUGGUGUGUGGAGGUGGUGUGUGGAGGUG